rnacentral:rRNA from 1 species
CCAACAGGGAUUGCCUUAGUAACGGCGAGUGAAGCGGCAAAAGCUCAAAUUUGAAAUCUGGCACCUUUGGUGUCCGAAUUGUACUUUGGAGAGGCAUCUUCUGGAGGGCCCCGGCCUAUGUGCCUUGGAACAGGACGUCAUAGAGGGUGAGAAUCCCGUCCUUGGCUGGAUGUUCCCUCCUGUAAGUAGUGUCUUCUACGAGUCGAGUUGUUUGGGAAUGCAGCUCAAAAUGGGUGGUAAAUUUCAUCUAAAGCUAAAUAUUGGCGAGAGACCGAUAGCGCACAAGUAGAGUGAUCGAAAGAUGAAAAGCACUUUGAAAAUAGAGUCAAAAAGUACGUGAAAUUGUUGAAAGGGAAGCGCUUGAGACCAGAGUCAGCCUUUGGCAAACAACUAUCCUUCUGGAUGGUGCACUUGUCAUUGGUUGGGCCAGCAUCGGUUGGGACGGCAGGAUAAAGGCCCAGGGAAUGUGACUCCUUUAUGGAGUGUUAUAGCCCCAGGCGGCAU